rnacentral:tRNA from 1 species
UCCCCGGUAGCUCAACAGGUAGAGCGGGUGGCUGUUAACCACUAGGUUGGGGGUUCGAGUCCCUCCCGGGGAGCCA